UACGUAGGGUGCGAGCGUUACUCGGAAUUACUGGGCGUAAAGCGUGCGCAGGCGGUUCUGUAAGACAGGUGUGAAAUCCCCGGGCUCAACCUGGGAAUUGCAUCUGUGACUGCAUAGCUAGAGUACGGUAGAGGGGGAUGGAAUUCCGAGUGUAGCAGUGAAAUGCGUAGAUAUGCGGAGGAACACCGAUGGCGAAGGCAAUCCCCUGGACCUGUACUGACGCUCAUGCACGAAAGCGUGGGGAGCAAACAGG
rnacentral:rRNA from 1 species